rnacentral:ncRNA from 1 species
GUAUGUAUGUAUACUACACAUUGUGUUACAGGAUCACAACAGUCUCGAAUCACAUGACAUGGGACCCGUUUCGUUUACGAAGCGGCGCACCAUGGCCCUGUCUUGUCUGUUUGCAGAUGGGCAGCGGUAGGGCGUACAGGUUGCGACCCGAAAGAUAGUGAACUAUGUCUGAGCAGGACGAAGUCAGAGGAAACUCUGGUGGAAUUCCGUAUCGUUCUGACGGCAGAUCGAUCGAUAGACUUGGGUAUAGGGACGAAAGACUAAUCUAACCAUCCUGUAGCUGG